GGAUGCGAUCAUACCAGCACUAAAGCAUCGGAUCCCAUCAGAACUCCGAAGUUAAGCGUGCUUGGGCGAGAGUAGUACUAGGAUGGGUGACCUCUUGGGAAGUCCUCGUGUUGCAUUCC
rnacentral:rRNA from 2 species